AGCGAACGUUUGCGGCGGGCCUAACACAUGCAAGUCGAACGAGAAUCUCUUCGGAGAGGAAAGUGGCGCACGGGUGCGUAACACGUGGAUAACCAACCCCCUGGUUCGGGAUAACAUCGGGAAACUGGUGCUAAUACCGGUUGUGUCCGCGAGGCCGUCAGGUCUUGCGGAGAAAGACACGCAAGGGUCGCCAGGGGACGGUCCGCGUCCCAUCAGCUAGUUGGUGAGGUAAUGGCUCACCAAGGCAAAGACGGGUAGCUGGUCUGAGAGGAUGAUCAGCCACACUGGAACUGAGACACGGUCCAGACUCCUACGGGAGGCAG
rnacentral:rRNA from 1 species